GCAUUGGUUGUUCACUGGUAAAAUUCUCGCCUGCCACGCGGGAGGCCCGGGUUCGAUUCCCGGCCAAUGCA
rnacentral:tRNA from 1 species